GAUGAACGCUGGCGGCGUGCUUAACACAUGCAAGUCGAACGAGGCCCAACCUUCGGGUGAAGACCGAGUGGCGAACGGGUGAGUAACACGUGGGGAACCUGCCCUUCUCUCUGGGAUAACCUCGGGAAACCGAAGCUAAUACCGGAUACUCCUUGCGGACCGCAUGGUCUGCUCGGGAAAGCUCCGGCGGAGAAGGAUGGCCCCGCGGCCCAUUAGCUUGUUGGUGGGGUAACGGCCCACCAAGGCGACGAUGGGUAGCCGAGCUGAGAGGCUGAUCGGCCACACUGGGACUGAGACACGGCCCAGACUCCUACGGGAGGCAGCAGUGGGGAAUCUUGCGCAAUGGGCGAAAGCCUGACGCAGCAACGCCGCGUGCGGGAUGAAGGCUCUCGGGUCGUAAACCGCUUUCAGCAGGGAUGAAAAUGACAGUACCUGCAGAAGAAGCCCCGGCUAAAUACGUGCCAGCAGCCGCGGUAAUACGUAUGGGGCAAGCGUUAUCCGGAUUCAUUGGGCGUAAAGCGCGCGUAGGCGGCUUGUUAAGUCAGGCGUGAAAUCCGGGGGCUCAACCCGCGGCUUGCGUCUGAAACUGGCAGGCUUGAGUCUGGUAGAGGAAAGUGGAAUUCCUGGUGUAGCGGUGAAAUGCGCAGAUAUCAGGAGGAACACCAGUGGCGAAGGCGGCUUUCUGGGCCACGACUGACGCUGAGGCGCGAAAGCUAGGGGAGCGAACA
rnacentral:rRNA from 1 species